CCUACGGGGGGCAGCAGUGAGGAAUAUUGGUCAAUGGCCGGGAGGCUGAACCAGCCAAGUCGCGUGAGGGAAGACGGCCCUACGGGUUGUAAACUUCUUUUGUAAGGGAGUAAGGCGCAGGUCGGGACCUGCUGUGAGAGUACCUGAAGAAAAAGCAUCGGCUAACUCCGUGCCAGCAGCCGCGGUAAUAGGGAGGAUGCGAGCGUUAUCCGGAUUUAUUGGGUUUAAAGGGUGCGCAGGCGGAUGCAAAGGUCUGCGGUAAAAUCGCGGGGCUAAACCCCGCUCUGCAGUUGAAACUGUGGGCCUUGAGUGCGCGGAGGGUAGGCGGAAUGCGUGGUGUAGCGGUGAAAUGCAUAGAUAUCACGAAGAACUCCGAUCGCGAAGGCAGCCUGCCGGCGCGCAACUGACGCUCAUGCACGAAAGCGUGGGUAUCGAACAGGAUUAGAUACCCUAGUAGUC
rnacentral:rRNA from 1 species